rnacentral:rRNA from 1 species
AGAGUUUGAUCAUGGCUCAGAUUGAACGCUGGCGGCAGGCCUAACACAUGCAAGUCGAACGGUAACAUUUCUAGCUUGCUAGAAGAUGACGAGUGGCGGACGGGUGAGUAAUGCUUGGGAGCUUGCCUUUGCGAGGGGGAUAACAGUUGGAAACGACUGCUAAUACCGCAUAACGUCUACGGACCAAACGGGGCUUAGGCUCCGGCGCAAAGAGAGGCCCAAGUGAGAUUAGCUAGUUGGUAAGGUAAUGGCUUACCAAGGCAACGAUCUCUAGCUGUUCUGAGAGGAAGAUCAGCCACACUGGAACUGAGACACGGUCCAGACUCCUACGGGAGGCAGCAGUGGGGAAUAUUGCACAAUGGGGGAAACCCUGAUGCAGCCAUGCCGCGUGUGUGAAGAAGGCCUUCGGGUUGUAAAGCACUUUCAGUUGUGAGGAAAAGUUAGUCGUUAAUACCUGCUAGCCGUGACGUUAACAACAGAAGAAGCACCGGCUAACUCCGUGCCAGCAGCCGCGGUAAUACGGAGGGUGCGAGCGUUAAUCGGGAUUACUGGGCGUAAAGCGCACGCAGGCGGUUUGUUAAGCUAGAUGUGAAAGCCCCGGGCUCAACCUGGGAUAGUCAUUUAGAACUGGCAGACUAGAGUCUUGGAGAGGGGAGUGGAAUUCCAGGUGUAGCGGUGAAAUGCGUAGAUAUCUGGAGGAACAUCAGUGGCGAAGGCGACUCCCUGGCCAAAGACUGACGCUCAUGUGNCGAAGUGUGGGUAGCGAACAGGAUUAGAUACCCUGGUAGUCCACACCGU